rnacentral:rRNA from 1 species
GAUCCUGGCUCAGAUUGAACGCUGGCGGCAUGCCUUACACAUGCAAGUCGAACGGCAGCGCGGACUUCGGUCUGGCGGCGAGUGGCGAACGGGUGAGUAAUACAUCGGAACGUACCCUGUUGUGGGGGAUAACUAGUCGAAAGAUUAGCUAAUACCGCAUACGACCUGAGGGUGAAAGUGGGGGACCGCAAGGCCUCACGCAGCAGGAGCGGCCGAUGUCUGAUUAGCUAGUUGGUGGGGUAAACGG